rnacentral:rRNA from 1 species
GAUGAACGCUGGCGGCGUGCCUAAUACAUGCAAGUCGAGCGAACGGACGAGAAGCUUGCUUCUCUGAUGUUAGCGGCGGACGGGUGAGUAACACGUGGAUAACCUACCUAUAAGACUGGGAUAACUUCGGGAAACCGGAGCUAAUACCGGAUAAUAUUUUGAACCGCAUGGUUCAAAAGUAAAAGACGGUCUUGCUGUCACUUAUAGAUGGAUCCGCGCUGCAUUAGCUAGUUGGUAAGGUAACGGCUUACCAAGGCAACGAUGCAUAGCCGACCUGAGAGGGUGAUCGGCCACACUGGAACUGAGACACGGUCCAGACUCCUACGGGAGGCAGCAGUAGGGAAUCUUCCGCAAUGGGCGAAAGCCUGACGGAGCAACGCCGCGUGAGUGAUGAAGGUCUUCGGAUCGUAAAACUCUGUUAUUAGGGAAGAACAUAUGUGUAAGUAACUGUGCACAUCUUGACGGUACCUAAUCAGAAAGCCACGGCUAACUACGUGCCAGCAGCCGCGGUAAUACGUANGUGGCAAGCGUUAUCCCGGAUUAUUGGGCGUAAAGCGCGCGUANGCGGUUUUUUAGUCUGAUGUGAAAGCCCACGGCUCAACCGUGGAGGGUCAUUGGAAACUGGAAAACUUGAGUGCAGAAGAGGAAAGUGGAAUUCCAUGUGUAGCGGUGAAAUGCGCAGAGAUAUGGAGGAACACCAGUGGCGAAGGCGACUUUCUGGUCUGUAACUGACGCUGAUGUGCGAAAGCGUGGGGAUCAAACAGGAUUAGAUACCCUGGUAGUCCACGCCGUAAACGAUGAGUGCUAAGUGUUAGGGGGUUUCCGCCCCUUAGUGCUGCAGCUAACGCAUUAAGCACUCCGCCUGGGGAGUACGACCGCAAGGUUGAAACUCAAAGGAAUUGACGGGGACCCGCACAAGCGGUGGAGCAUGUGGUUUAAUUCGAAGCAACGCGAAGAACCUUACCAAAUCUUGACAUCCUUUGACAACUCUAGAGAUAGAGCUUUCCCCUUCGGGGGACAAAGUGACAGGUGGUGCAUGGUUGUCGUCAGCUCGUGUCGUGAGAUGUUGGGUUAAGUCCCGCAACGAGCGCAACCCUUAAGCUUAGUUGCCAUCAUUAAGUUGGGCACUCUAAGUUGACUGCCGGUGACAAACCGGAGGAAGGUGGGGAUGACGUCAAAUCAUCAUGCCCCUUAUGAUUUGGGCUACACACGUGCUACAAUGGACAAUACAAAGGGCAGCGAAACCGUGAGGUCAAGCAAAUCCCAUAAAGUUGUUCUCAGUUCGGAUUGUAGUCUGCAACUCGACUACAUGAAGCUGGAAUCGCUAGUAAUCGUAGAUCAGCAUGCUACGGUGAAUACGUUCCCGGGUCU